GACGAUCCCUAGCUGGUCUGAGAGGAUGACCAGCCACACUGGAACUGAGACACGGUCCAGACUCCUACGGGAGGCAGCAGUGGGGAAUAUUGCACAAUGGGCGCAAGCCUGAUGCAGCCAUGCCGCGUGUGUGAAGAAGGCCUUCGGGUUGUAAAGCACUUUCAGCGGGGAGGAAGGCGUUAAGGUUAAUAACCUUGGCGAUUGACGUUACCCGCAGAAGAAGCACCGGCUAACUCCGUGCCAGCAGCCGCGGUAAUACGGAGGGUGCAAGCGUUAAUCGGAAUUACUGGGCGUAAAGCGCACGCAGGCGGUCUGUCAAGUCGGAUGUGAAAUCCCCGGGCUCAACCUGGGAACUGCAUUCGAAACUGGCAGGCUAGAGUCUUGUAGAGGGGGGUAGAAUUCCAGGUGUAGCGGUGAAAUGCGUAGAGAUCUGGAGGAAUACCGGUGGCGAAGGCGGCCCCCUGGACAAAGACUGACGCUCAGGUGCGAAAGCGUGGGGAGCAAACAGGAUUAGAUACCCUGGUAGUCCACGCCGUAAACGAUGUCGAUUUGGAGGUUGUGCCCUUGAGGCGUGGCUUCCGGAGCUAACGCGUUAAAUCGACCGCCUGGGGAGUACGGCCGCAAGGUUAAAACUCAAAUGAAUUGACGGGGGCCCGCACAAGCGGUGGAGCAUGUGGUUUAAUUCGAUGCAACGCGAAGAACCUUACCUGGUCUUGACAUCCACAGAACUUUCCAGAGAUGGAUUGGUGCCUUCGGGAACUGUGAGACAGGUGCUGCAUGGCUGUCGUCAGCUCGUGUUGUGAAAUGUUGGGUUAAGUCCCGCAACGAGCGCAACCCUUAUCCUUUGUUGCCAGCGGUUAGGCCGGGAACUCAAAGGAGACUGCCAGUGAU
rnacentral:rRNA from 1 species